ensembl:lncRNA
GGGGUGGGGUGGGGGUGGGGUGGGGUGGGGGCCGCCGCGCAUGCGCCGCACCUGCAGCGCCGCCCGCUGGCCCGCAGCUGGGUGUAGGCAGAGUGCGCCCCGGGACCCCGCCGCGUCCCUUCCGGGUGCCCCGCUCUUCUGGUUCCUCUGCUGCUGCCUGGCGCCGUUUUGCAGCCUCCUGGCCCUCGCUGGUCCCUGCUCCGGACUUGGGCGCUCGGCUCCCGAGCCUCGGUGCGGACCGGGAGCUGAGGCCGGGAGCUGAGCCCUGCGGCCGGCGGCCUAGCGGCAUCCUCGCCUGGCGUGGGUGGGAGCGUCUCCGAUCCUGCUUCUCAUUACCUGUGGGUGGUAACUGGAGACUGCUUCGUGAGUCCGUGCCUGGGAUGCUCCAGUUGUCAUCCCUGCUGACUUGGAGAAAAUUCAAACAGAAAUGGAAAGAGCCCAUUAGUGAGUCCAAGGGAGGCUUGACACUACAUGCUCCUCGGGGCAGAGGCAGCCGACCCUAGUGACCUACCAGGCAAGACAUGCUGGCCGCGACUGGGCACUGAGGAUUUAGAAGUUGCAAGGACUUGUUAGAGCACCCGACUGGAAUCCAGCAGUGACCCAUGAGUUCAGAGGAGUCUCCAAAUUCUAGCACGGAUCCCAAAGCAGGAGAGGCCCAAACCGGAUCCUCAGCGAGCCUUCACCCAAUCCAGCAUGUCAGAGGCACGCUCCACUCUUGUUCCUCCAUCCCAAGGAAGGAACGUCGGUAGGAAACGUGUCCUGUUGGAAGUGCUGAGCUGUGCGUGUCAGGGAGC